rnacentral:rRNA from 1 species
GAGUGAGCGGCAAGAGCUCAGAUUUGAAAUCGUGUUUCGGCACGAGUUGUAGAGUGUAGGCGGGAGUCUCUGUGGAGCGCGGUGUCCAAGUCCCUUGGAACAGGGUGCCUGAGAGGGUGAGAGCCCCGUAGGGUGCUGCGCGAAGCUUUUGAGGCCCUGCUGACGAGUCGAGUUGUUUGGGAAUGCAGCUCCAAGCGGGUGGUAAAUUCCAUCUAAGGCUAAAUAUUGGCGAGAGACCGAUAGCGAACAAGUACUGUGAAGGAAAGAUGAAAAGCACUUUGAAAAGAGAGUGAAACAGCACGUGAAAUUGUUGAAAGGGAAGGGUAUUGGGCUCGACAUGGGGGGUGCGCACCGCUGUCUCUUGUAGGCGGCGCUCUGGGCGCCCUCUGGGCCAGCAUCGGUUCCUGCUGCGGGAGAAGGGGCUCCGGAAAGUGGCUCUUCGGAGUGUUAUAGCCGGGGCCAGAUGCCGCGUGUGGGGACCGAGGACUGCGGCUUCUGUCUCGGAUGCUGGCAUAACGGCGCAAUACCGCCCGUCU